rnacentral:rRNA from 1 species
CCUACGGGAGGCAGCAGUGAGGAAUAUUGGUCAAUGGGCGGGAGCCUGAACCAGCCAAGUCGCGUGAGGGAAGACGGUCCUAUGGAUUGUAAACCUCUUUAGGCGGGGAGCAAUGCCGGGCACGCGUGCCCGGAGGGAGAGUACCCGCAGAAUAAGCAUCGGCUAACUCCGUGCCAGCAGCCGCGGUAAUACGGAGGAUGCGAGCGGUAUCCGGAGUUAUUGGGGUAAAAGGGUGCGUAGGCGGAUUUUUUAGUCAUCGGUAAAAUGUCCGGGCUCAACCCGGGCCGGCCGUUGCAACUGGGGAUCUUGAGUGGGCGAGAAGUAUGCGGAAUGCGUGGUGUAGCGGUGAAAUGCAUAGAUAUCACGCAGAACUCCGAUUGCGAAGGCAGCAUACCGGCGCCCGACUGACGCUGAGGCACGAAAGCGUGGGGAUCGAACAGGAUUAGAUACCCCUGUAGUC